rnacentral:rRNA from 1 species
AGAGUUUGAUCCUGGCUCAGGACGAACGCUGGCGGCGUGCCUAAGACAUGCAAGUCGAGCGGGGUUUCAGGGCUUCGGUCCUGAGACCUAGCGGCGGACGGGUGAGUAACACGUGGAUAACCUGCCCUCUGCUCUGGGAUAACAGGCCGAAAGGCCUGCUAAUACCGGAUAAGCUCACGGACCCGCAUGGGUUUGGGAGAAAAGGCGCUGGAGUCAGUGGCGCUGGCAGAGGAGGGGUCCGCGGCCCAUUAGCUGGUUGGCGGGGUAACGGCCCACCAAGGCGACGAUGGGUAGCCGGCCUGAGAGGGCGACCGGCCACACUGGGACUGAGACACGGCCCAGACUCCUACGGGAGGCAGCAGUCGGGAAUUUUGCACAAUGGCCGAAAGGCUGAUGCAGCAACGCCGCGUGAGCGAAGAAGGUCUUCGGAUCGUAAAGCUCUGUUGUAAGGGAAGAACAAGUGCAGUAGUAACUGGCUGCACCUUGACGGUACCUUACUAGAAAGCCACGGCUAACUACGUGCCAGCAGCCGCGGUAAU